CGGACUGUAGGCUGCAACUCGCCUACACGAAGUCGGAACCGCUAGUAAUCGCGGAUCAGCAUGCCGCGGUGAAUACGUUCCCGGGCCUUGUACACACCGCCCGUCACACCAUGGGAGUUUGUAACGCCCAAAGUCGGUGGCCUAACCUUUAUGGAGGGAGCCGCCUAAGGCGGGACAGAUGACUGGGGUGAAGUCGUAACAAGGUAAC
rnacentral:rRNA from 1 species